AGUAGUCUGGUUUUGAAUCUAUUGUUCAUAAAUAGGGUCCAGACUUUUUUUUACAACUUAUAUAUACAGUGGUUUAGAGAACGUACUUAUUUCUACUUUUUUAAACUUCGUGGAAAGUUAUAUUAACAUUUGAACUAAUUUGUUUCAACUUACUCAACUAAAUCAUAAUGAGUGACGUUCCAGUAUCAAACGUUGAAAAAGUCGAGAAAACCCCAAAAACAGGAGAAUCAGCCAAAGGAAACGGUCCAGCUAAAGAAGGUACCACGGAAGGAAAGGAAGCUCCUACUGCAGAAACAAAGUAAAUGUAAAUAAAAAAUUUGAAGCAACAAAAAGAAUGUAAAUUUUGUAAA